CUUGUGCCACGGUGGCCCAAAUGUCAGUCAACCAGACAUGUCUUCUGAGAGGUAAGUUUUUGAAAAAUACUAGACUUUUCUCAAAUGUAUUUCUUUACAGGAAUAAAAAGAAAGCUAAUUUUGCAUGAGCAUGCAGGAAGUCUGCAGACAGACAUUCUACAUAGUCCCUUGGGGACUCAGUAGAAGUGGAAUCAAGACCAACCCAAGCCCAACAAGGCAGCUCCGCUGGUUAAUGCCUCCCAGAUCUGUCAUCUGUGAUAAAGAGCCUCGCUGUAGCUGAGGAGCUGGCCAAGAACCUUUCCCAGUUAGCCAAGUUCGUGAAGAAGUCACAUGUGGUGAAUAUAUUAUCAUCAGAAUGCGGAGCAAUGAAAUGUAAACAGAUAGGAAUCGUCACUAAAGCUCCAACUGCAGCCUCCGGGUGCCAUAGCUUUUGCACCAUCCAUUUGCACCAUCUCUGCAUUGCUCUCAAUCACUGCCACGAGUCUGGUGAUGCGCUAAGCUCGGGGCAGGAUCUCAAGGGCUUUGAGGAUGUCUGCAUCAUCUGUAUUGACCUGCUCCCCAGAUUAAUACCGAAGCACUGCAAUUUCUUGAGGAUUAUCCACCUAGGAGGAAAUGAUACGCUGGCCCAUCCAUAGUAGUCAAGAAACAGUCUGAGAUCCAAAAAGUGGCUUAAAAGAGGGAAAAGUUAAUCAAAAUGUCUGUGAAGCUCUGGCUUCAGUCUCUCCAGCGAGGCUUUCUGAAGCACAGCUCUGAUAGAACUAAACCCAAUGAGACACCGCCUACAAGAGGAAUCCAGCGUGUGAACGAAGACUAAAAAGCAAAACAGCAGCGUCUGGAGUGGACAGCUUCUCUCACUCAGAGAACUGUAGCCUCAAAUUCCUGGCAGAGGUUUCUUGGAAGAGAAGAAUGAGAUUGGAUCUGAGAAAAUGUGGCUGGGAACCACCAUCUCAGAUGGUAGAAACCACUCAGAAGGAUCAACUGCUGCAGACGGGAAGAGGAGCAACCUCGUGAAUAAUUUCGUGACAGGAUAUUGCAGGAGGGACUUUGUCCAAAUGUGUGCAGGGUAGUUGGCUACAGCAACAAGGAUGACGAACACAGAUGAAUUGAUCAGGAUGUAACCAUUCAAAGUUGAGAGGAUUAGAGGACUUCUCCGAGGCGGCUCCAAUGGAUGCCAGCAGAGUUAAAGUGUCCAAUGGAGAGAAGAGAAGGCUUGGGAAAUCCAGAGUCCAUUCAUUCAUCGCCCUCCUCCUAGAACAACAAAAGCGAGCCCCAGUACUCAUCAGCAUGGACUCUGUGUGUAGUCAUCUCCCUUAGUUUCAGAGGUUCCUGCCUACAGCAAAACUUUAGAGGCUUAGAGUUUAACGGUCAUAGCUUAUUCACCUCCAACUGUGUCCUAGUUCAAGAGAAACACUUCACAUAUCUGUAGGGAGAAGAUAAUGAACCAAGGAUACAAGUUAAGCCUUAGCUAAGACCUGUUACUCAGGAAAAAGAGCUAAAACAAGCUGCUUAGAUCAGCACCAAUGUUAGGUAGAGAGAAAAAGAAACGCUGCAUAGAAAUCUUAAGGUUCACAUGUGCUCCAGGCUGGGUCAACAACUUCUAAUUUCCUUUGCCAACCAACCAUGUCUUUGACAGAAAUGAUCCUUCUACAUAGACCACAGAGGGAUCCAAUGGAGGUUUCUCUUCCUGAAUUUGGGGAUUCAGAAUCUGGACAAAUUCCUUUCCAUCAAAGUCCAGUACAAAAGUAGUACCAUGGCAGUCCCUGCAGGGACUUGCAUCACUUUCCCUAGAGAUAUCAAGAGAAUUUUUAGUGAUAAGAAUAUGGCACAAAAUGAGAAAUCCCAUUACUCUUAAGAGAAUCUCUUCCUUCUCAAAGGCACCUGAUUAAUACAUAUAGUACUAUCAGUAAGGCUGAGCAAAAGGAUACUGAUGUUCUGAGUGAUCUUAAAUCAUGUAAUAAUAACUUUAUUCGUAGUAUAGAACGGAAUAUUCCCUAUUAGUAAUCAGUUCCUUUGCCAGAUCCUCAUAGUAUCUUAGUCACUGUUUUAUUGUUAUGAAGAGAAACUUUGACCACAGCACCUCUUAGAAAAAAGGAAGCAUUUAAUCGGGACUUCCUUAUGGUUUCACAGUUUUACAUAAUUGUCAACAUGGCAGAGAACAUGGGGGCACGCAAACAGACAUGGUGCUGGAGAAGUAGCGGAGAAUAUACAGCAACAUAUAGAUACAAAAUAUAGAUACAUAUAGAUACAGAAUAUAGAUACAUAUAGCUACAUAUAGAUCUGCAGGCAGCAGGAAGAGACUGGGACAAGGCCAUACCUUCUAAGGCUUCUCAAGGAGUGUCACUUCCUGAUGACCAAGCAUUCAAGUGUAUGAGCUUAUGGGAGCCAUUCUUAUUCAAGCCACCACACAUAGCAAAGCUGAUAAUGUCAUUUUCUGAAUUAACCAGGCCAAGGCACACUUCUUAGCAACAUGGUUACCUGGUAACCAGAGAUUUUUCUCAUCCCAUGAGAGAUUUCAUUCAAGAACUGAUCUUCUAACAGUUUUGUCUCUCUUAAGAAUGCUACAGACAGGGUGGGGUGAGGCACAGUGCUGAAGCCCCUCAAGUUUCCCAGAGGGAUGAGUCCAUGAAAGACGAAAAUCAUGUGGUCACACUGAGCAUAGACUUCACAAGCAUCAUGCUAGGAUUCCAUUUUCUUUCUCAACACAAUGAUAAAUUCUUCUUCCAAUAAGCAGAAAAUCAUCCAAUGGGAAAAAAAAAUAAAACCAACUAACUUGCAGUCCUUUGGAACAGUUUCAUAGCUUACAGGAUGGCUUCAUAACCCUGGGGACACUCGUUUUGACAUGAAAACUUCCUUCAGAACAGGAAUUCUGAUCCAACAUGUGCUCAGACAUCAUUUCAGUCACUUGCAAAUGAACAAGAAAGCUCAUGUAAAUGAGGAGGCUCAACUCCCAGGCCUGGUGAGUGGGUAAGACAUUCCUCUGCUGGGUUUUGAAGGCUGUCUGAAACCAUCGGCUGACAUCCUUCUCUGUGUGCAUGUAUGCACUAUCUACGGGAAAUUCAGCUCCAACCGGUUGUCUCUACAGCUCCCUUAAUCUUCUCCUCCCUCCUCCUGGCAUUGGCAUGUGUCCCAGGACUGCAGCGAGGAGUGCUUACCAACAAAGGUGCUGGCAUCUGCAUUUGUUUCACAGCCACAAACCUAAUGGUUCCAUGAUUUUGGCGAGCAAAACUGUCAAAAUGCCUGAGCACAAGAGAUCACAAGAUGAGCCAAGGCAUAGUGUGCAUGCCUUCCUUCCCAGCACUCGGAAGGCAGAGGCAAGGGGAUCUCUGUGGGUUCAAGGCCAGCCUGAAUCACAAGGUGUACUGGGGAUUCUUUUUUAUUGUUUUCCUUUUGCUAUCUGGAAUAGUUUGAGAUUGUAUUUGAUCAGUGCAUUAAACAAC
rnacentral:lncRNA from 1 species